GACGAACGCUGGCGGCGUGCCUAAUACAUGCAAGUCGAGCGAAUCUUGAGGUGCUUGCACCUCUUGGUUAGCGGCGGACGGGUGAGUAACACGUGGGCAACCUGCCUAUAAGACUGGGAUAACUUCGGGAAACCGGAGCUAAUACCGGAUAAUCCUUUUCCUCUCAUGAGGAAAAGCUGAAAGACGGUUUCGGCUGUCACUUAUAGAUGGGCACGCGGCGCAUUAGCUAGUUGGUGAGGUAACGGCUCACCAAGGCGACGAUGCGUAGCCGACCUGAGAGGGUGAUCGGCCACACUGGGACUGAGACACGGCCCAGACUCCUACGGGAGGCAGCAGUAGGGAAUCUUCCGCAAUGGACGAAAGUCUGACGGAGCAACGCCGCGUGAACGAUGAAGGCCUUCGGGUCGUAAAGUUCUGUUGUUAGGGAAGAACAAGUAUCGGAGUAACUGCCGGUACCUUGACGGUACCUAACCAGAAAGCCACGGCUAACUACGUGCCAGCAGCCGCAGUAAAAC
rnacentral:rRNA from 1 species